GAAGCGUCUGGAAAGGCGCGCGAUACAGGGUGACAGCCCCGUACACAAAAAUGCACAUGCUGUGAGCUCGAUGAGUAGGGCGGGACACGUGGUAUCCUGUCUGAAUAUGGGGGGACCAUCCUCCAAGGCUAAAUACUCCUGACUGACCGAUAGUGAACCAGUACCGUGAGGGAAAGGCGAAAAGAACCCCGGCGAGGGGAGUGAAAAAGAACCUGAAACCGUGUACGUACAAGCAGUGGGAGCACGCUUAGGCGUGUGACUGCGUACCUUUUGUAUAAUGGGUCAGCGACUUAUAUUCUGUAGCAAGGUUAACCGAAUAGGGGAGCCGAAGGGAAACCGAGUCUUAACUGGGCGUUAAGUUGCAGGGUAUAGACCCGAAACCCGGUGAUCUAGCCAUGGGCAGGUUGAAGGUUGGGUAACACUAACUGGAGGACCGAACCGACUAAUGUUGAAAAAUUAGCGGAUGACUUGUGGCUGGGGGUGAAAGGCCAAUCAAACCGGGAGAUAGCUGGUUCUCCCCGAAAGCUAUUUAGGUAGCGCCUCGUGAAUUCAUCUCCGGGGGUAGAGCACUGUUUCGGCAAGGGGGUCAUCCCGA
rnacentral:rRNA from 1 species